GAAUGCUGACAUAAGUAACGAUAAAGCGGGUGAAAAGCCCGCUCGCCGGAAGACCAAGGGUUCCUGUCCAACGUUAAUCGGGGCAGGGUGAGUCGACCCCUAAGGCGAGGCCGAAAGGCGUAGUCGAUGGGAAACAGGUUAAUAUUCCUGUACUUGGUGUUACUGCGAAGGGGGGACGGAGAAGGCUAUGUUGGCCGGGCGACGGUUGUCCCGGUUUAAGCGUGUAGGCUGGUUUUCCAGGCAAAUCCGGAAAAUCAAGGCUGAGGCGUGAUGACGAGGCACUACGGUGCUGAAGCAACAAAUGCCCUGCUUCCAGGAAAAGCCUCUAAGCAUCAGGUAACAUCAAAUCGUACCCCAAACCGACACAGGUGGUCAGGUAGAGAAUACCAAGGCGCUUGAGAGAACUCGGGUGAAGGAACUAGGCAAAAUGGUGCCGUAACUUCGGGAGAAGGCACGCUGAUAUGUAGGUGAAGCGACUUGCUCGUGGAGCUGAAAUCAGUCGAAGAUACCAGCUGGCUGCAACUGUUUAUUAAAAACACAGCACUGUGCAAACACGAAAGUGGACGUAUACGGUGUGACGCCUGCCCGGUGCCGGAAGGUUAAUUGAUGGGGUUAGCGGUAACGCGAAGCUCUUGAUCGAAGCCCCGGUAAACGGCGGCCGUAACUAUAACGGUCCUAAGGUAGCGAAAUUCCUUGUCGGGUAAGUUCCGACCUGCACGAAUGGCGUAAUGAUGGCCAGGCUGUCUCCACCCGAGACUCAGUGAAAUUGAACUCGCUGUGAAGAUGCAGUGUACCCGCGGCAAGACGGAAAGACCCCGUGAACCUUUACUAUAGCUUGACACUGAACAUUGAGCCUUGAUGUGUAGGAUAGGUGGGAGGCUUUGAAGUGUGGACGCCAGUCUGCAUGGAGCCGACCUUGAAAUACCACCCUUUAAUGUUUGAUGUUCUAACGUUGGCCCCUGAUCGGGGUUGCGGACAGUGUCUGGUGGGUAGUUUGACUGGGGCGGUCUCCUCCUAAAGAGUAACGGAGGAGCACGAAGGUUGGCUAAUCCUGGUCGGACAUCAGGAGGUUAGUGCAAUGGCAUAAGCCAGCUUGACUGCGAGCGUGACGGCGCGAGCAGGUGCGAAAGCAGGUCAUAGUGAUCCGGUGGUUCUGAAUGGAAGGGCCAUCGCUCAACGGAUAAAAGGUACUCCGGGGAUAACAGGCUGAUACCGCCCAAGAGUUCAUAUCGACGGCGGUGUUUGGCACCUCGAUGUCGGCUCAUCACAUCCUGGGGCUGAAGUAGGUCCCAAGGGUAUGGCUGUUCGCCAUUUAAAGUGGUACGCGAGCUGGGUUUAGAACGUCGUGAGACAGUUCGGUCCCUAUCUGCCGUGGGCGCUGGAGAACUGAGGGGGGCUGCUCCUAGUACGAGAGGACCGGAGUGGACGCAUCACUGGUGUUCGGGUUGUCAUGCCAAUGGCACUGCCCGGUAGCUAAAUGCGGAAGAGAUAAGUGCUGAAAGCAUCUAAGCACGAAACUUGCCCCGAGAUGAGUUCUCCCUGACUCCUUGAGAGUCCUGAAGGAACGUUGAAGACGACGACGUUGAUAGGCCGGGUGUGUAAGCGCAGCGAUGCGUUGAGCUAACCGGUACUAAUGAACCGUGAG
rnacentral:rRNA from 1 species